GAAUGAAAUGAUGAUUUAUUGUUUUCCUAUUGGUUUGAUUGCCUAGAUGAUGGCAUUUUUGUAUUAGCUCUAUCUGAUCAUUC
rnacentral:snoRNA from 1 species